GGCGAACGCUGGCGGCGUGCUUAACACAUGCAAGUCGAACGGAAAGGCCCUGCUUUUGUGGGGUGCUCGAGUGGCGAACGGGUGAGUAACACGUGAGUAACCUGCCUUUGACUUUGGGAUAACUUCAGGAAACUGGGGCUAAUACCGGAUAGGAGCUCCUGCUGCAUGGUGGGGGUUGGAAAGUUUCGGCGGUUGGGGAUGGACUCGCGGCUUAUCAGCUUGUUGGUGGGGUAGUGGCUUACCAAGGCUUUGACGGGUAGCCGGCCUGAGAGGGUGACCGGCCACAUUGGGACUGAGAUACGGCCCAGACUCCUACGGGAGGCAGCAGUGGGGAAUAUUGCACAAUGGGCGGAAGCCUGAUGCAGCAACGCCGCGUGCGGGAUGACGGCCUUCGGGUUGUAAACCGCUUUCGCCUGUGACGAAGCGUGAGUGACGGUAAUGGGUAAAGAAGCACCGGCUAACUACGUG
rnacentral:rRNA from 1 species